GAAUGUGAUGUAUGAGGAUGUUGAAUUCCUCUUGUCCAAAUUUAUUGUAUUUUUAUACCUUAUUUUGUUGUUUUAUUGACAAGAUCAGUUAUAUCAACCAAUCCUAUCUGUUUGAUGAAUUCUUUUUGCUUUUGCUGUGAUAAUACUUUGGUCAAUCCAUCCGCUGGCAUACUGCUUGUAGGCGUCCACCGUACUGAGAUAUCGCCAGAUUUGAUCCAUUCUCGCAACCAAUUACCGUAGAUAUCGACAUGGCGUAACUUAGUUGUGAUAGAAGGAUCUUCCUUAGUAAGGAUGCCAACUGUCUGUUGAUUAUCACAUUGGAUUGAAAUUUUGUGCCCUGGAUUGAAUCCCAGAUGAUCAAAGAAUCUCUUCCACCAGAUUGACUCCUUUCCUGCUUGUGAUAUAGCUAGUAAUUCAGCUUCUGUGGUGGAAGUUGUUAUUAUCCUCUGUCUCUUUGACUUCCAAUCAACAGGUCCUUCAAACAGUUUGAAGAUAUAUCCUUCUGUUGAUCUUUUAUCUGAAUUAUCCGCGAAAGAGGCAUCACUAGCUGCUUCAAACACAUUCAUUGAUAGGCC
rnacentral:sRNA from 1 species